rnacentral:rRNA from 1 species
UACGUAGGGGGCAAGCGUUGUCCGGAUUUAUUGGGCGUAAAGAGCUCGUAGGCGGUGUGUCGCGUCGGCCGUGAAAACCUGCAGCUUAACUGUGGGCUUGCGGUCGAUACGGGCAUCACUGGAGUUCGGCAGGGGGGGACUGGAAUUCCUGGUGUAGCGGUGAAAUGCGCAGAUAUCAGGAGGAACACCGGUGGCGAAGGCAGCUCGCUGGGACGGUACUGACGCUGAGACGCGAAAGCGUGGGGAGCAAACAGG